rnacentral:rRNA from 1 species
UACGAAGGGGGCUAGCGUUGCUCGGAAUUACUGGGCGUAAAGGGCGCGUAGGCGGCCUGUUAAGUCGAACGUGAAAUCCCCGGGCUCAACCCGGGAACUGCGUCCGAUACUGGCAGGCUUGAAUCCGGGAGAGGGAUGCGGAAUUCCAGGUGUAGCGGUGAAAUGCGUAGAGAUCGGGAAGAAUACCUGUGGCGAAGGCGGCCAGCUGGGCCAGAUCCGACACUGAGGCGCGAAAGCGUGGGGAGCAAACAGG